GCGCCUCGCUUCCAAUUCGCUGGUGCCGCUCGCGGGGAGGCAAAGCCGGACGCGCCGGAGGAGAGGCUGUCGUCUCGCGGCCGCGACGAUCCGGGAUCCGAGCCCGAGGACCGCGCGGCCUGACGCGGCUGGACGAGUCAUGGACGGCCCGCUGCCGGAGCAACGUCGCGACGGGGACGGCGGCUCCGCUCGCCGGCACCGCCUGCGCGGAGAGCCGCAGUGAGCAGCUUUUGCCGGCGUCUUCUGAAGCUGCAUAUUGACGGCGAGAGGGCGUUCGCUAUCCCCCACCCCCUGCACGCGGAGCAUCCGGCACCUCCAGGCCUUUUCCCUCCCCCCGACUACACGGUAGGGGCUACGCCCCGUGACGAUCAGCGAUGAUCCUCCACCGAGCAUAAAUGCGGCGCGGAGGCGUCAAAUUUUCCGCUGGAGUCGAAGAACGCAGGCGCCCGUUUUAGCCCGACGACGACGCGAACCGCUUUGGACGUCGGCGACGAGAUAAGCUCGCAAAUAUUAAGCACCGACCCUCACUUUAAUGCAAACGAGAUGCCACAAAUGUCACAGAAUUGACAGAUGAAAUGACAUAAAUCGAGUUUGUUUACGCUUCAAUGCCGUGUUCUUUUCCGGCUCCGAGGAUAACGACGGGGAGCAGA